CCCUUAGAUGUCCUGGGCUGCACGCGCGCUACACUGAUGUGUCCAGUAAGCACCUAACCUCUUCCGAAAGGAACGGGUAACCUUUGCAAAGCACAUCGUGAUGGGGAUAGAUUAUUGCAAUUAUUAGUCUUGAACGAGGAAUUCCUAGUAAGCACAAGUCAUCAGCUUGUGUUGAUUACGUCCCUGCCCUUUGUACACACCGCCCGUCGCUCCUACCGAUUGAAUGGUUUAGUGAGAUCUCUGGAUUGACGCUGGCUAGGGGGCGACCCUUGGCCAGACUGCUCGAGAAACUGCUCAAACUUGAUCAUUUAGAGGAAGUAAAAGUCGUAACA
rnacentral:rRNA from 1 species